rnacentral:rRNA from 1 species
GAUGAACGCUGGCGGCAGGCCUAACACAUGCAAGUCGAACGCCGUAGCAAUACGGAGUGGCAGACGGGGGAGUAACGCGUGGGAACAUGCCCUUUGGUUCGGAAUAACUCAGGGAAACUUGAGCUAAUACCGGAUAAGCCCGAGAGGGGAAAGAUUUAUCGCCGAAGGAUUGGCCCGCGUCCGAUUAGCUAGUUGGUGAGGUAAUGGCUCACCAAGGCGACGAUCGGUAGAUGGUCUGAGAGGAUGGUCAGCCACACUGGGACUGAGACACGGCCCAGACUCCUACGGGAGGCAGCAGCGGGGAAUAUUGGACAAUGGGCGCAAGCCUGAUCCAGCCAUGCCGCGUGUAUGAUGAAGGUCUUAGGAUUGUAAAAUACUUUCACCGGGGAAGAUAAUGACGGUACCCGGAGAAGAAGCCCCGGCUAACUUCGUGCCAGCCGCCGCGGUAAGAC